rnacentral:rRNA from 1 species
UACGUAGGGAGCGAGCGUUGUCCGGAUUUACUGGGUGUAAAGGGCGUGUAGGCGGAGGAGCAAGUCAGAAGUGAAAUCUCCGGGCUUAACCCGGAAACUGCUUUUGAAACUGUUCCCCUUGAGUAUCGGAGAGGCAGGCGGAAUUCCGUGUGUAGCGGUGAAAUGCGUAGAUAUACGGAGGAACACCAGUGGCGAAGGCGGCCUGCUGGACGACAACUGACGCUGAGGCGCGAAAGCGUGGGGAGCAAACAGG